rnacentral:rRNA from 1 species
GAUGAACGCUGGCGGCGUGCCUAAUACAUGCAAGUCGAACGCUGAAGGAAGGAGCUUGCUCUUUCCGGAUGAGUUGCGAACGGGUGAGUAACGCGUAGGUAACCUGCCUGUUAGUGGGGGAUAACUAUUGGAAACGAUAGCUAAUACCGCAUAACAGUAGAUGUUGCAUGAUAUCUACUUAAAAGGCGCAAUUGCACCACUACCAGAUGGACCUGCGUUGUAUUAGCUAGUUGGUGAGGUAACGGCUCACCAAGGCGACGAUACAGAGACCGCCUGAGAGGGUGGUUGGCCACAACGGGAGUGGGACCCGGCACAGGACGCCUAGGGGGGGAGCAGGAGGGAAACUUCGGCAAUGGACGGAAGUCUGACCGAGCAACGCCGGGGGAGGGAAGAAGGUUUUCGGGUCGUAAAGCUCUGUUGUAAGGGGAGAACCAGUGUGAGAGUGGAAAGUUCACACUGUGACGGUAUCUUACCAGAAAGCGACGGCUAACUACGUG